rnacentral:rRNA from 1 species
AGGUUAUCGCACUGUUGGAUAUGUGCGUUUAAGUUGGUAGGUGGGAAGUUUAGGCAAAUCCGGACUUCCUUAACACAGAGAGAUGAUGACGAGGCUCUACGGAGCUGAAGUAACUGAUACCACACUUCCAGGAAAAGCCACUAAGCGACAGGCUUUACUAAACCGUACUGAAAACCGACACAGGUGGUCAGGUAGAGAAUACUCAGGCGCUUGAGAGAACUCGGGUGAAGGAACUAGGCAAAAUAGCACCGUAACUUCGGGAGAAGGUGCGCCGGCGUAGAUUGUAAGGGCUAGCCCCUGAAGGUUGAACCGGUCGAAGUGACCCGCUGGCUGCAACUGUUUAUUAAAAACACAGCACUCUGCAAACACGAAAGUGGACGUAUAGGGUGUGAUGCCUGCCCGGUGCUGGAAGGUUAAUUGAUGGUGUAAUCGAAAGAGAAGCACCUGAUCGAAGCCCCAGUAAACGGCGGCCGUAACUAUAACGGUCCUAAGGUAGCGAAAUUCCUUGUCGGGUAAGUUCCGACCUGCACGAAUGGCAUAAUGAUGGCCAGGCUGUCUCCACCCGAGACUCAGUGAA